rnacentral:rRNA from 1 species
AUUGAACGCUGGCGGCAUGCUUUACACAUGCAAGUCGAACGGUAACAUAAGAAAGCUUGCUUUCUUGAUGACGAGUGGCGAACGGGUGAGUAAUACAUCGGAACGUACCCUGUAGUGGGGGAUAACUACUCGAAAGAGUGGCUAAUACCGCAUACAACCUGAGGGUAAAAGUGGGGGACCGCAAGGCCUCACGCUAUAGGAGCGGCCGAUGGAAGAUUAGGUAGUUGGUGGGGUAAAGGCCUACCAAGCCGACGAUCUUUAGCGGGUCUGAGAGGGCGAUCCGCCACACUGGGACUGAGACACGGCCCAGACUCCUACGGGAGGCAGCAGUGGGGAAUUUUGGACAAUGGGCGAAAGCCUGAUCCAGCAAUGCCGCGUGAGUGAAGAAGGCCUUCGGGUUGUAAAGCUCUUUUGUUUGGGAAGAAAUCCUUAAGGCUAAUAUCCUUGGGGGAUGACGGUACCAAAAGAAUAAGCACCGGCUAACUACGUGCCAGCAGCCGCGGUAACAC